GACGAACGCUGGCGGCGUGCUUAACACAUGCAAGUCGAACGAAGUGGCGAACGUGUGAGUAACGCGUAAUCAACCUGCCCUUCAGAGGGGGACAACAGUUGGAAACGACUGCUAAUACCGCCUACUGAAGGUGGGGAUUGCGUCUGAUUAGCCAGUUGGGGGGGUAACGGCCCACCAAGGCGAUGAUCAGUAGCCGGUCUGGGGGGAUGAACGGCCAAAUUGGGACUGAGGAACGGGCCAGGCUCCUACGGGAGGCAGCAGUGGGGAAUCUUUCGAAAUGGACGAAAGGCUGACGGAGCAACGCCGCGGUAGUGAUGACGGGUUUCGGGUUGUAAAGUUCUGUUAAUCGGGACGCGGUACCGGAAUAGAAAGCCACGGCUAACUACGUGCCAACAGCCGCGGUAAUAC
rnacentral:rRNA from 1 species